GAUUUUCGGCUCCCUGUAUGUGAGAUUCUAUUCAUUAAAGGAAGAAAAAAGAUAACGUGCGCUCAGCAUAUAAGACGUGACAGCUGCACACGGCUGGCUCAUUCUACUUUUCAACAUUGUAAUUUCAGAUAAUUUCCCCCGCGUUCACUCUUCUUGCAAUUUGUAAAUGAAUAACAGAAUAAUUUUGUCUUUUGUUUCGUCUUUGCUACCUCAAAUCCAAAUAAAGAUGCCUUUUAGUAUUAAAAGUGGUAGAAAAUUACAGGUAAUUAUCUUUGACGGUAAAAACGCUGUAAUCAGUGGGCCACAUCAAAAAUUACUCUAAUUACGCCUGCAUUUAUGAGAAUGGGGGAGAAAAAAAGCUUCUCGUGGAUAAAAACCAUAAAUUGUCCCAAAUAUCUCGUCUAUAUUGAACGGGACUGCAGCUGGAUGCUUUGUUCAGAAUCGAUCCUGUGGCGCUUGGCAUCAAGGGUUUUAUAGUGAAUGCAGGAGAAAGAGGGAGAGAAAAUUUGUCAAUACUCCAAUAAUUGAACUAGAAAAUGGCAAGAUUGACUGGACGAAAGGCAACCGAUUUCAACGGGGAAAAUAUUAACAGACAGAUUAUGGGCAGCGCCUUCCGAUUGGUCAUUCAACCCAACGUCAUCAGUACUGUGCUUCUCGGAGACUUCACGGUAAAAACUGGAUAACGACACACACAAGAUCAAUGACUUGGCCUGUAUUUUCUACAUGCAGUUACUCCUCUGUCUCCAUACUGCCCUACUUCUUUUCAGCAGAGGUUCCCGGUCAUCAUGCCAACAGCACAUCAGUUUCCCACGAAUGAUCAGGUAAUGUCUGAGGAUGCCAUAAUGCCACUGUAUCCUGCAUCAGCAAAUCAAAUCCUAAAUUAAACUCCUUUACUGCUGUUUUUUUGGUGCCUUAAAUUUCUGUCUGCACAUAUCUUUGAACAUAAGAACAUAAGAACAUAAGAACAUAAGAAAUUUACAAACGAGAGGAGGCCAUUCGGCCCAUCAAGCU